rnacentral:rRNA from 1 species
UAGGGAAUCUUCCGCAAUGGGCGAAAGCCUGACGGAGCAACGCCGCGUGAGUGAUGAAGGUCUUCGGAUCGUAAAACUCUGUUAUUAGGGAAGAACAAAUGUGUAAGUCACUAUGCACGUCUUGACGGUACCUAAUCAGAAAGCCACGGCUAACUACGUGCCAGCAGCCGCGGUAAUACGUAGGUGGCAAGCGUUAUCCGGAAUUAUUGGGCGUAAAGCGCGCGUAGGCGGUUUUUUAAGUCUGAUGUGAAGGCCCACGGCUCAACCGUGGAGGGUCAUUGGAAACUGGAAAACUUGAGUGCAGAAGAGGAAAGUGGAAUUCCAUGUGUAGCGGUGAAAUGCGCAGAGAUAUGGAGGAACACCAGUGGCGAAGGCGACUUUCUGGUCUGUAACUGACGCUGAUGUGCGAAAGCGUGGGGAUCAAACAGG